rnacentral:rRNA from 1 species
CCUACGGGAGGCAGCAGUGGGGAAUAUUGGACAAUGGGGGGAACCCUGAUCCAGCCAUGCCGCGUGUGUGAAGAAGGCCCUCGGGUUGUAAAGCACUUUCAGUGAGGAAGAACGCCUGGUGGUUAAUACCUAUCAGGAAAGACAUCACUCACAGAAGAAGCACCGGCUAACUCCGUGCCAGCAGCCGCGGUAAUACGGAGGGUGCGAGCGUUAAUCGGAAUUACUGGGCGUAAAGCGCGCGUAGGUGGCUUGAUAAGCCGGUUGUGAAAGCCCCGGGCUCAACCUGGGAACGGCAUCCGGAACUGUCAAGCUAGAGUGCAGGAGAGGAAGGUAGAAUUCCCGGUGUAGCGGUGAAAUGCGUAGAGAUCGGGAGGAAUACCAGUGGCGAAGGCGGCCUUCUGGACUGACACUGACACUGAGGUGCGAAAGCGUGGGUAGCAAACAGGAUUAGAUACCCCAGUAGUC